AUAUAUUAAGUACUAUAUUUGUACUCUUGUAGGUUAUUAAUUAAACAAUGUAUUUGUUUUCAGUAAAACCAGUUUGAUAUUUUAGAACAUUGUGUCUUCUUUGCAAGACCAUCGGAAAUUCCAGGUAUGUACCUACUAUUAAUAGGAAAAGAGAAAAAUUGGCUAUGCCAAUUGAUCGAAUUCUUGUUUGCCUUGUCGAGUACGAGAGCAUUCUACUAUAAGUUCAAGAACAGCAUUUGAAAGACUCGUUUGUUUCACAUGUUAUUUCAUUCUGCGUCAAUGGCCACAUACAAUGUUUAAAUAUCUUAUUUGAACUUCCUUGUUAUAGAAAUAUAUAUUUUGGUCUACAUUUGUGCAUACAUUAUUCUACUGUUUAAAGAAAACAUGUAUUUCGUACUGCAAAUAUAAUUAUUUAAACGUUCAAAUUUAACAACUGAUAGUCAAAUGAAAUUUUAAUUCAACUAAAUCUGUGACCCUUUUUAUUACAGAAAUAACAGUUCAGAGGUCUUUCAAAUAUUCUUUAAAAAUAGUCUGUACCUAGUGUGUGAUAUAACAACUAACUUUUCAAGCCCAACUUUAUCACAAACGAAAUCUCCAACGCAAUUUCGUCAUUCCUAUCUUCCAUAUUAUUUUGAGCCAUAAAAUCUCGCUGACUUCAAUUGUACCACGAAUUUAACAUCUAACGGUGAAUGUGCUGCUCCUUUUUGUGUUAAUUAUUUUGGCCACAGUGGUCGUGUUACUGCGUGCAGGAAUUUCGUAAUGCUACCUAUGAAGUUACAUCAGUAGCCAAGAACAAAGACGCAGUCCUACGUGAAAACGCGAGAAUGAUACUCGAAACGAAACAGCCGUCGCACACCGACUGCCACAUCUGAAUUCAUUUCGCACAUCCGCGCCACGAAAGUAGUACGUGUCGGGUCUAAAGUUCAGCCGAACGUACAAGCUCCUACCGGCCGUGAAUCACGAAAAACCGUCGGGGCUCAUCGUUAGGUGACGCGACGCCCGUAUGCUCGUGUGCGAUAAAAAUUGUCCAACGAAUCAAGCAAGGCGAACGAAGUUGCGAAACCUAUAGAUCACGAGUUACGUAUGAUGGUAACAAGGCUGCUUCGUACGUAUAUGAAGGAUCGAGCGAGUAUCACGUUUGCGUCUUGAUCAUAGAUGAUUGAUUUUCGAGUCUGGAUAUCCACGAGGUGGUGAACAGCUCAGACAGUAGGACCAGAACCAACGACCAGCACUUACCGCGGCCACGAUCAUUAAAAAGCAGCCGUGUCACUCGCGCGCACAACGAGUUCAACGAAACACGGGAAUGUUGAUCACGUUUCUUCUCUUCGAUGUGAAAUAGACGAACGAAGUCAAGUGUUUAGAUACGCAAGGGAGACAGAGAAGGAGCAAUAGAAUGAUAACAGGGACAGAGAGGUGAGAGGUGGUGAAAAGAGAGCGGCUCGAGAGACGAGAGAAAGAGAGAGGUUAUGUGCAGACGACGACAGGAGAAAUUCCAGCGGGCGGCAGCGCUGAGGUCCACGGAUAGUUCGUCCGUUCCUUCGUUCCCCUCGUCCGAUAAGUGAUGAUUCCACGACGAUGAUUCGAGAGGACCGAUUGGGUGGGACGCGUUUUAGCCUCGUUGGAUCUUCGACGUCCGUUUCAUCGUGUAUAUGCCACAGACCAAUGAUUACGAGUGUAUCUUAAGAACUUGGAGGAUUUCUUCGGACGAGGAACAACGAACGGGACGGCGUUUGAUUCGCAUCCACGCAAAGAAUCUUCUUUCGAUGAUAUCGUUUCGUGUCUGGACCGCUUCUUGCUCGCUGUUUGAAGGAUCGCUCGAUGUCUCGAACGAAUCCGUGAGUAUAUUGAGGAACGAAUUUAAGAUAUGGGUGUGAUGCACUGUUACGACUUCCUAAUUAAUCACACUAUAUAUCACUCUCUCUUUGACGAACUAGGAUAAAUGAAAAGAAUGUCGAAAAACGGAUAGGAAGACAGCGCGCACCGGUUAUAUCCCUGGAAACGAUUCGUGCGGAAAGCGAUACGCUGUUCUUCUUCUGCCACCUCCUCCUCCACCGCCUUCUCCUUUUCUACCGAUUCUUUUCAUUCGCGUACGCAUACGUUUUCCCACGCACCGAGGCAAAAAACCACACACUUACGGAGACUGACUGGAGGGAAAGAAUAGCGGGAAAAAGAUGGAGAGAAGAAAGGAACGAGGGAAGAGCGCGACGGUGAUCGGGAGUUGAUGCUAGGGCAUCGCAGAGAGCGGGCAAGGCAGAAAUGUCGGUGUUACUACCAGCUUGGAGUAGCAAGCACCGGUAAAACACGGUCCUAACUAACACACAUGGAGACAGAUUGGGGACUGCUGCUUCGGAGUUUACUAUAGGAUGGGACGGAUGGUGAUGGCGGCCGUAGCAGAGCAGCCACCGCCCCCAUGCUUCUUCUCUCUCUCUUCGUCUCCCUUGUCUUGUUCGACCGCCGCCCCCACCACCGUUUCUCACUGCUAUUUCCCUCCACUCUCUACUUCUCCCCGUAACCGUUCCAACCGUUCUCCUAUUCUCCCCUCUAUGCGUUAUGAUGGACACGCUGGAACUCCCCUCUUCAACAUCCAACUUACCCCCUUUCUCUCCCACUUCUCUUGCACGCUUCUCUCUACAUUUCCUCCUCUUCCUCUUACUCUUCACAUACAGGUCUCUGCUAUAGCUUUCCCUGGGCUACGAGAUGUUAUCCUCGAGCGAUUCGUGCGUACUAUACAUAUAUUCGUCUACCCGUGUCGUCGCCACAUCCCCUACCUGCGUCGCAUCUCGACGUGUGCGUUGGCCGCAAUCAAGGUCAGGAGCGUAACCGGUAAGCUAUGGCACCCCGCUCUAUCGAUUCUAUAUACCACGGUUUCAUCACGAUGACGACGUCGACGACGAUACAAAGGGGGUAGCCAGAGGGAACUUAUACUUAUGUAGUCGAGCAAUGUUGUUUUCACUAAUAUAGCGGUUUAUGGAUCGCAGUGGUGUUUCGUUAUCGUGGCGCAUUCGUUCACCGGAAACCUGGUAUCUUUUGGCUCAUUGGCUCACAGAUGUGAUUACCUCGUUAUUUAUCUGCUGAAAGGAAGGAUGCGUGUUGCGCCGAUAUUGUAUUUACUUUUAUAUAGCUUCCUCUUCACGUGUUUUAUGCGCAUCCUCCAAGAUACUUCGCUGAAAUACCAGUCGAAUGGGGGUGUGUAAAUCUACGAGAAUGUUGCUAUCAAGUAUAUUCACGUCCAAUAAAUUCCCGUAGCAAUUUCGUAAACGAAAACAGCUUUCGUGUAAGACGAAGGUGAUGAAACGAAAAGACGUUAGAAAAAUGAAUUAGUUUCUUCUUGAAUUUUUUGAAGUCGUUUGUCAAGUCAAUUUGUCAAUUGAAAAAUUCAAUAUCGUUUCGUGAUGUUUAUACAUAUCACGAGAUAUUUUGCAAUCACAACUCGAAUACCUCGGACUCUCCCGGAGGGGAAACGAGAUAACAUUCGGUAGCGCGUGCGGUUAUCUUCGUCGAUUCCCUUGACUUUUCACCGCCGUGAGGUAUGUAAAUACGUUUUAAAGUAGACAAGAAGCUCUUAUUCGCGAUGCAAUCUACGUAACAACGUCGCAUCGGUAUCAACGAAAUUUUCCAUUCUCUCCUCUUCCUAGCAAGAAUAGUUCAACAAUAAACAAUUCUAUCAUCACGAAAAUAUAUACAGUGGCUAAGAAAAGUAUUUGUAUAUAUAUACCCUUAUUUCAUGACGUAUCUUUUUAUCAGUUUCUAACUUCGUUUCCAGACCACGGUUUCCUUCGAAUAAACGUCAGAUAAACGUGCGCGCACCGCAAGAAAGAGAGAACGCAGGAAAGCGAAGUUAACCCGCAGGCUUGGUCGAGCUACAAGGUAGCUUAUCGUCGGCAACUACGAUAUUGAUGGCUAAUGUGUACGUACAGCCGCGACGAAAGCAGAGACGGCAAGCAGUGGCGGCAGUGUCCGAUACUAUUAUUAGUGUGCAGCUGCCUGCGAAUUACUGAAUGAAAGGGAAGGACCGCUUCGAAACAAUAUCCGAAAGAGACGGGAGGCACGCUGCAUCGUUUAAAGCGACAGCCAUCCGACGAUUAUUUAGAGUCAGAUUUACGCGUGUACAUCUAUGUAUGCGUGCGCCAUCGAACGAAAGCGUCGCGCGUAGUCGUCAUGAAUCGAUUGAUUUGUAAAUUAAUGUAUAUUCCUUCGUACUUGGAUUCAAUCAAACCUUGAAUAUUACAUGAAUCGAUCAACAUGAAAAUUUAAUACUGAACUUAUUAUCCAAUGGAGCAAGGUAAGAAUGACCGCAAUAUAUUAUUUUGAAAGUCAUCUAUCACACGUUCGAGUAUACGUAUCAGGUUACGAGAGAAGUAUGGACAAUUAUUUAGCGUCACGUUGAUUGCUUGCUUUGAAUAUCAGCGAAAGACUGGACUGAAUUUUCUCUGAUGAGUAUAAACGUUGAUUCACAUACGAGUAGGGAAUUGUUCAUGAAACUAAUUUGUGAGAUAGUCAUACGUUUAUUUCAGUCCUGAGCCACAUAGAAGAACAAACAUAUUGUACAUAUGUACUUACGUGUCAUUACGUACUUCACAUUUGAGACGAUUGGAAAUGUAUCAGGAAAAUCUUCUGAAUAAACAGUUCCUUUUUUGAUUUUUAUA
rnacentral:lncRNA from 1 species